AUGUCAGAAAGUGAGUUAUCAGUAAUAAAACCAGAGUCGUUGAAGACUUAUAUUUGGCUUCAGUGCUUUGAUGGAUCCAUACAGCAAGUGGAGGAAGAGGUUGCCAUGUUCUGCCCUAUGAUAUGUCGAGAAAUUGUCAAAAAUGGAACAGGAUCAUCCAAAAAUCAUGCUAUUGCUCUCCCAGAAAGAGUUAAUCCAUCAAGUUUGAGUUUGAUUCUUGACUAUUGUCGGUUUCAUCAAGUCCCAGGGCGCUCCAACAAGGAGCGGAAGUCAUUUGAUGAGAAGUUUGUUAGGAUAGACACCGAAAAACUUUGUGAGCUGACAUCUGCAGCUGACAGUCUUCAAUUAAAGCCAUUGGUUGAUCUUACUAGUCGAGCACUUGCUCGAAUCAUUGAAGGGAAGACACCUGAGGAAAUCCGUGAUAUUUUUCAUUUACCAGAUGACUUAACGGAGGAAGAAAAAUUGGAGCCACUGAAAAAUAUAAACGAUGAUCCCAGGAUUCGCUUAUUGAAUCGAUUGUAUGCAAAGAAACGGAAAGAACUACAGGAGCGCCAGAAACUAAAGGAUAUUCAGGUACAGCAAGAGCAAAAGGAUGAGCGAUCUUUGGACGAGUUACUUUGUUUUAUAAAUGGGGAUGGAGGUUCUGGAGGUGGGAAAGCUGGUAAGAAUAAGAAAAAGAACAAGAGAAGGAAGGAUCCGAAGAACCUCCCAAAGGCUGACCCUGAACAUGUAAAUAAGGAGGAAGGUGCCCGUGCGGUACCAUGCAAUGCGGGUGCUGUUAAUAAUAUUUCUAGAGCUCCUUGCCCAAGUUCAGAUGUGCAAGAUGAUAAUGAGUACCCCUUUGAAGAUGGUGAUCUUGAUGAUGGACUUGAUCCUGCAAUGCAGGAAGAGCUUGAUAGGGAAGUUGAAGAUUUCGCUAGGAGGCUGAAUUCUGUUUGGCCUGAAAGAAUGCAUUUGGGUCAAGAAAGAAGAAUUGAGUCGCAGCUGAUUGGUGGUAAUGGUUCUCUGCAGAGAUUUUCUGGUAAUUUUUUCCAUAUAGAAUAG
rnacentral:rRNA from 1 species